CCAGCCUAUAUACCUCCGUCGCCAGUACGCCUGUUAACAGUUACAAAAGCGUAUAUAAUAGUCUACCACUAACACGACAGGUCAAGGUGUAGCUAAUGGGCGGGACAGAGAUGGGCUACAUUUUCUUCACUAGAAAACACCCAACAUGUAAUGAAAACACCACAUAAAGGCGGAUUUAGCAGUAAGCAGCAGCAAGACAAGCUCACCUGAAACCACACAUGAGAUGUGUACACACCGCCCGUCACCCUCCUCAAACACAUUUUAAACGUAACUAACACACCUAAGAAAUAAAGAUGAGAUAAGUCGUAACAUGGUAAGCGUACUGGAAAGUGUGCUUGGCUCACCUCAAAGGUAGCUUAACUCAAAGCGUUAGGCUUAACAACCCA
rnacentral:rRNA from 1 species